rnacentral:rRNA from 1 species
AGUGAACGCUGGCGGUAGGCCUAACACAUGCAAGUCGAACGGCAGCACAGUAAGAGCUUGCUCUUACGGGUGGCGAGUGGCGGACGGGUGAGGAAUACAUCGGAAUCUACUUUUUCGUGGGGGAUAACGUAGGGAAACUUACGCUAAUACCGCAUACGACCUACGGGUGAAAGCAGGGGAUCUUCGGACCUUGCGCGAUUGAAUGAGCCGAUGUCGGAUUAGCUAGUUGGCGGGGUAAAGGCCCACCAAGGCGACGAUCCGUAGCUGGUCUGAGAGGAUGAUCAGCCACACUGGAAUUGAGACACGGUCCAGACUCCUACGGGAGGCAGCAGUGGGGAAUAUUGGACAAUGGGCGCAAGCCUGAUCCAGCCAUACCGCGUGGGUGAAGAAGGCCUUCGGGUUGUAAAGCCCUUUUGUUGGGAAAGAAAAGCAGCAGGUUAAUACCCCGCUGUUCUGACGGUGCCCAAAGAAUAAGCACCGGCUAACUUCGUG